rnacentral:rRNA from 1 species
UACGGAGGAUGCGAGCGUUAUCCGGAUUUAUUGGGUUUAAAGGGUGCGUAGGCGGGCUUUUAAGUCAGCGGUAAAAAUUCGGGGCUCAACCCCGUCCGGCCGUUGAAACUGGGGGCCUUGAGUGGGCGAGAAGAAGGCGGAAUGCGUGGUGUAGCGGUGAAAUGCAUAGAUAUCACGCAGAACCCCGAUUGCGAAGGCAGCCUUCCGGCGCUCUACUGACGCUGAGGCACGAAAGUGCGGGGGUCGAACAGG